rnacentral:SRP_RNA from 1 species
GCUUUAAGGUUUGGCCGCCGAAAGCGGCGUUGAUAGCCGGGACCUGCGCAACGGACGUCUUGUGAACCCCGUCAGGUCCGGAAGGAAGCAGCGGUAAACAAGUUCUUCCGUGUGCCGCACGGAACCCUGGCUGGAGUUGGCUGCGGCAGGUAUCACUUGGAGCGGCUUAUCGAAGGCAGGUGCACGA